UACGUAGGGUGCAAGCGUUGUCCGGAAUUAUUGGGCGUAAAGAGCUCGUAGGCGGUCCGUCGCGUCGAAUGUGAAAACCCGGGGCUCAACCCCGGGCCUGCAUUCGAUACGGGCAGACUAGAGUUCGGUAGGGGAGUCUGGAAUUCCUGGUGUAGCGGUGAAAUGCGCAGAUAUCUGGAGGAACACCGGUGGCGAAGGCGGCAUCCUGGACCAAUACUGACGCUGAGGAGCGAAAGCCAGGGGAGCAAACGGG
rnacentral:rRNA from 1 species